rnacentral:ribozyme from 1 species
UGCCCAGCAACUCCUAUCCCUACCUCCUCGUGGUACUGGCCGGAAACUAUGAGCAACCUUAGGGAAGAUCGGGUAACCAACCCCGGUGAGAACUUUGGUCGUAGGCUGAGGGGGGG